UACGAAGGGGGCUAGCGUUGCUCGGAAUCACUGGGCGUAAAGGGUGCGUAGGCGGGUCUUUAAGUCAGGGGUGAAAUCCUGGAGCUCAACUCCAGAACUGCCUUUGAUACUGAGGAUCUUGAGUUCGGGAGAGGUGAGUGGAACUGCGAGUGUAGAGGUGAAAUUCGUAGAUAUUCGCAAGAACACCAGUGGCGAAGGCGGCUCACUGGCCCGAUACUGACGCUGAGGCACGAAGCGUGGGGAGCAAACAGG
rnacentral:rRNA from 1 species